UACGUAGGGUGCGAGCGUUAAUCGGAAUUACUGGGCGUAAAGCGUGCGCAGGCGGUCUGUUAAGACCGAUGUGAAAUCCCCGGGCUUAACCUGGGAACUGCAUUGGUGACUGGCAGGCUUUGAGUGUGGCAGAGGGAGGUAGAAUUCCACGUGUAGCAGUGAAAUGCGUAGAGAUGUGGAGGAACACCAAAGGCGAAGGCAGUGUCCUGGGGAGUACCUGACGCUCAGGUGCGAAAGCCAGGGGAGCGAACGGG
rnacentral:rRNA from 1 species